rnacentral:tRNA from 1 species
GUGGUCGUAGUUCAGUUGGCCAGAGCACUAGAUUGUGGUUCUAGUUGUCGUGGGUUCGAGUCCCACCGACCACA